CACGUCGAAUCAUGGCUGAAAGAAAAUAAUUCCUGGAACUUUGCAUGUUUUAUGGGACUUUCCUUAUGAGAGGUGGGUGAUUUGGCUUUUGACCAGCUGAUUUUGCACGUGCUUGACUUCGAUGUAAACAAACUCUCACGCCUUGCUGGAUGGUUGCCGCGUAAGACGAGUGCCUUCAGGAAUUGAUGAACCGAGUGCAGCACACUUGAGGGCAGUCGAUUUUCCGGGUCCAUGAUUCAUCCGGUGUAUAGAGGAGAAGAUCUGAGGCUCAAAGUUCCGAGAACAGGUAACAUUCUUUGGGUUGGAUUUUGAAUACCCGCGAUGUAGUCCCUCAGACUUCUGAAUGUUGGUCCCAUAUCUGGUGGCUAUGAGUGUUGUCCGGCUGAAUCGGAAGUUGAUGAGCUGGCGUAAGGUUUCCUCAUCGUCAUCAGUCGGGUUCAGUGUUCUGGCAUGGGUUGGGAGGUAGUCUUUGGCCCAGUGUCUUUCGGGUGU